rnacentral:rRNA from 1 species
UACGUAGGGAGCAAGCGUUGUCCGGAUUCACUGGGUGUAAAGGGUGCGCAGGCGGAUUCGUAAGUCAGAAGUGAAAUCUCACGGCUCAACCGUGAAACUGCUUUUGAUACUGCAAAUCUUGAGUUAGGGAGAGGUUGAUGGAAUUCCAGGUGUAGCGGUGAAAUGCGUAGAUAUCUGGAGGAACACCGGUGGCGAAGGCGGCAUCCUGGACCGGCAUUGACGCUGAGGAGCGAAAGCCAGGGGAGCAAACGGG